rnacentral:rRNA from 1 species
CAUGAGUUCGAGGUGGACAAGGAUGGUGAGGGCAUUGUCGACGCACCGAAAGGAAGAGCGGGAAAUUACACCAACGCCGAAGACAUCUUACUAUGCAAUACUUGGUUGCAAGUGUCGAGGGAUCCAUCCAUUGGAGGUGAUCAAAGUAGAGAUGCUUAUUGGUUCCGGAUGAAAGAACACUUUGAUCUUUGCAACAUGAGUGGAAUUGACCGCUCCACACGAUCACUUCACUCCCGGUGGUCGACCAUCAAUAGGGAUUGUCAACAAUGGUCGGCCGCACAAAAAGCGGUUGACAAG